UUCCUAGAACCAUGCACUCUUAAUGUAACUGAUAUGGACAGCAACAACAUAGAGUUGAAAUGGAGACAGGAAGAGUUCAUUUUCCUACGUGGAGAUCUCAUAGAGUUUGAAUGUAACCAGGGAUAUAAUUUUCUCCACACUACCAUUCUGUCUCCUGGGAGGACACAGUGUGACCACGGCAGACUGAAAUAUCCAAAAUGUGUUAUGCAAGCUCCUACAGAAAAAUGUGACUCUCCACCAUCUCUUGCAAAUGGAGCUCUUCCUCUCCCACCACUGACCCAGUGUGACAGUGGUUCUUCAGUUCAGUAGAGUUGCUCUGACUGUCAUUUUUUGGAAGGAUCUGAGAGAAUCAACUGUUCUGAAGGGCAGUGGACUUUGCCACCAGUUUGUGUAGAGCCACGUACUUUGUCAAAAAAUGAAAUGGAGAAAAAUAAUGUGCUACUGCAAGGCUUCUGUGCAAAUCAGGUUUACUUUUACCCUGGG